rnacentral:rRNA from 1 species
GAUGAACGCUGGCGGCGUGCUUAACACAUGCAAGUCGAACGAAGCAUUUUCAAUUCUUCGGAAGAGGAAAUGACUGAGUGGCGGACGGGUGAGUAACGCGUGGGUAACCUGCCUUAUACAGGGGGAUAACAGUUGGAAACGACUGCUAAUACCGCAUAACCCGAUAGAGCCGCAUGGCUCGGACGGAAAAGAUUUAUCGGUAUAAGAUGGACCCGCGUCUGAUUAGCUAGUUGGUGAGGUAAUGGCUCACCAAGGCAACGAUCAGUAGCCGGCUUGAGAGAGUGAACGGCCACAUUGGGACUGAGACACGGCCCAAACUCCUACGGGAGGCAGCAGUGGGGAAUAUUGCACAAUGGAGGAAACCCUGAUGCAGCAACGCCGCGUGAAGGAAGAAGUAUUUCGGUAUGUAAACUUCUAUCAGCAGGGAAGAAAAUGACGGUACCUGACUAAGAAGCCCCGGCUAACUACGUGCCAGCCGCCGCCGUAACAC